AGCAGUAGCCACGGUAAUACAGAGGGUGCGAGCGUUAAUCGGAUUUACUGGGCGUAAAGCGUGCGUAGGCGGCUUCUUAAGUCGGAUGUGAAAUCCCUGAGCUUAACUUAGGAAUUGCAUUCGAUACUGGGAAGCUAGAGUAUGGGAGAGGAUGGUAGAAUUCCAGGUGUAGCGGUGAAAUGCGUAGAGAUCUGGAGGAAUACCGAUGGCGAAGGCAGCCAUCUGGCCUAAUACUGACGCUGAGGUACGAAAGCAUGGGGAGCAAACAGGAUUAGAGACCCCUGUAGUCCUGUCUCUUAUACU
rnacentral:rRNA from 1 species